rnacentral:rRNA from 1 species
GACGAACGCUGGCGGCGUGCUUAACACAUGCAAGUCGAACGGAAAGGCCCCUUCGGGGGUACUCGAGUGGCGAACAGGUGAGUAACACGUGAGUAACCUGCCCUUGACUUCGGGAUAACUUCAGGAAACUGGGGCUAAUACCGGAUAGGAAUCCUUGCUGCAUGGUGGGGGUUGGAAAGCUUCGGCGGUUUUGGAUGGACUCGCGGCUUAUCAGCUUGUUGGUGGGGUAGUGGCUUACCAAGGCUUUGACGGGUAGCCGGCCUGAGAGGGCGACCGGCCACAUUGGGACUGAGAUACGGUCCAGACUCCUACGGGAGGCAGCAGUGGGGAAUAUUGCACAAUGGGCGGAAGCCUGAUGCAGCAACGCCGCGUGCGGGAUGACGGCCUUCGGGUUGUAAACCGCUUUCAGCAGGGGCGAAGCUUGUGGUGACGGUACCUGCAGAAGAAGCACCGGCUAACUACGUG